rnacentral:rRNA from 1 species
UACGGAGGGUGCAAGCGUUGUCCGGAUUUAUUGGGUUUAAAGGGUGCGUAGGCGGCCGAUUAAGUCUGGGGUGAAAGCCCGUUGCUCAACAACGGAACUGCCCUGGAAACUGGUCGGCUUGAGUACAGACGAGGGCGGCGGAAUGGAUGCUGUAGCGGUGAAAUGCAUAGAUAGCAUCCAGAACCCCGAUUGCGAAGGCAGCUGCCUAGGCUGUAACUGACGCUGAGGCACGAAAGCGUGGGGAGCGAACAGG